UACGGGGGGAGCAAGCGUUGUUCGGAUUUACUGGGCGUAAAGGGCGCGUAGGCGGCCACCGCAAGUCAGUUGUGAAAGCUCUGGGCUUAACCCAGAAAGGUCAACUGAUACUGCGGGGCUAGAGUGCAGAAGGGGCAACUGGAAUUCUCGGUGUAGCGGUGAAAUGCGUAGAUAUCGAGAGGAACACCCGUGGCGAAGGCGGUUCUCUGGGACGGUACUGACGCUGAGACGCGAAAGCGUGGGGAGCGAACAGG
rnacentral:rRNA from 1 species